AGCGAACGCUGGCGGCAGGCUUAACACAUGCAAGUCGAACGGUCCUUCGGGAUAGUGGCGGACGGGUGAGUAACACGUGGGAACGUACCCUUAGGUUCGGAACAACACAGGGAAACUUGUGCUAAUACCGGAUAAGCCCUUCGGGGGAAAGAUUUAUCGCCUUUGGAGCGGCCCGCGUCUGAUUAGCUUGUUGGUGAGGUAAUGGCUCACCAAGGCUACGAUCAGUAGCUGGUCUGAGAGGAUGGCCAGCCACACUGGGACUGAGACACGGCCCAGACUCCUACGGGAGGCAGCUGUGGGGAAUCUUGCGCAAUGGGCGAAAGCCUGACGCAGCCAUGCCGCGUGGAUGAUGAAGGUCUUUGGAUUGUAAAAUCCUUUCACCGGGGACGAUAAUGACGGUACCCGGAGAAGAAGCCCCGGCUAACUUCGUGCCAGCAGCCGCGGUAA
rnacentral:rRNA from 1 species